UACGGAGGGAGCUAGCGUUGUUCGGAAUUACUGGGCGUAAAGCGCACGUAGGCGGCUUUGUAAGUUAGAGGUGAAAGCCCGGGGCUCAACCCCGGAAUUGCCUUUAAGACUGCAUCGCUUGAAUCCAGGAGAGGUGAGUGGAAUUCCGAGUGUAGAGGUGAAAUUCGUAGAUAUUCGGAAGAACACCAGUGGCGAAGGCGGCUCACUGGACUGGUAUUGACGCUGAGGUGGCGAAAGCGUGGGGAG
rnacentral:rRNA from 1 species